rnacentral:lncRNA from 1 species
GGCUGCCAAAGCAGAGCCUGCAAACUUAACUACUCGGCCACGGGGCCAGCCCCAAUAUAUACAUUUCUUUGUAUCCUUUAUAUUUUUUCUUCCAGGUUAAGCCAACACUUAAUGCCAUACAAAAUUGAAGUUUGCGGAAUUCAAAGAAAAGCUGCUGCUUUUACGAGCCGUGUGGGUAGGGAAUGCAUGGGUCACCGUCCACUGCCGGAGAAAUCUUUCUUGGCCCAAGAGGUGGCAGCAAAGGCUGGGGUUUCCACCUCCCACUCAGGGACUCUCCCAUCUUGAUCCAGGCUCAGGCAAGAGGCACAGACUUAUUACCACUCUCAUCAUUCCUGUCUGUCGGAAGGCAGAGGAUGUGGGGGCAGGGGGGUUCCUGGAAGAGAGCAGCCGCCCCACCCUUGUCGACUUGCAUCAUGUUGGUUCUGAGGAAAAGGCGAAUGUUUUUUGAGGUGACCUCACCACCUCACCUAAGGCUGAGGCUGGGACUGACGUGUCGACGAGCGACCUAAAGCCUCGAGGACGAGAAGGAAAGGCAAGGUCCCAGCUCACCCACGUGUUGGGUGACACUUUCAAGGACACAAUUACCCCAGCCUCAGCCAGAGGAGGCGAGCGUGUAGAACUGUGAGGAUGGACAACUGAAAACCAAAACUCAGCAGGACCAAACCAAAACUCCACUCCUGUGGUUCUUACUUUCACCACAGGAUUGAUUCUGACCAAGAAGGGAAGGAGAACAAUCUUCAAAAUCAAAGAGUCAGAAAGGGAGAAACUCAACCUUCUGCACAAAGGGGUAAUCAGUUCUCCAAAGCAGAACAAUUCUCAUUGGACACAGCGGUUGCAGGAAAAAACCAUCUGAUUCGUUUAUACGAUUAAACCAUCUGAUUCACCUAUGCAUAAGAAGGAAACAGACACGUGCUGUUCUGACCUUACAACCACAUCCGCUCUGCACAUUCCCGCUCCUUGCCUCACUCUCAUGGAUUAAUGGGGGGCUGAUGGAUCUGAAAGGUGUGGGUGAAUUGGAACAGGGACCUCUGAGUGAAAAAUACUUCUAGGGGAAGGAGAGCACCAUUUAAAAAACAAAAUAAAACAGAGAUCAGGGGCGAUCCUGGUGGCGUAAUGGUUAAGUUCACAGCCUCCCCUUCAGCGCCAGGGGUUCUGGGUUUGGAUCCAGCACGGACUUACACACUUCUCAUCAAGCCAUGCUGUGGGGGCAUCCCACAUACAAAAUAGAGGAGGAUUGGCACAGAUGUUAGCUCAUGGACAAUCUUCCUCAAGCAAAAAAGGGGAAGAUUGGCAACAGAUGUUAGCUCAGGGCCAAUCUUCCUCACCAAAAAAUAAAAUAAAAUAAAAUAAAAAAUAGCAC